UGAACUUGCAACCCUCCUGCCUCAGCCUCCCAGUCACUGGGAUGACAGGCGUGGCCACUGUGUCCAGCUAUAAAAGCAUUUUCUCAUGACUCUUGGAAUCAGUGUUUGCCAUGAAUGCAUCCUGACAGGGGCCAGAGGUCACCUCAGCCAGUCAGCCACACAUGGGGUGGGAGACCAGGUGGCAGGACUUGGUUUUUAGGUGGAACCCUCCCACACCAAAAGACCAGCACCAAGCAGAGCUGUGCAGAGUUCAGGAGUCUGCCUUAUGGAGGCUGGGCUGGCGGAGGUGGGGUUGGCAGAGGUGGGGCUGGCCAGGGCGGGUUGUGGCCCCGUCUGCUCAUAAAGGGAGCCUGCGUAGCACAGGCACAGGAAGAACCCUGUUCCUGCCGCUGUAGUUGCUUGGGAGGGCUCUGAGGAUGUCUAGUUUGUGUUUUGAGGUUUGGGCCAGUUUUGGUUGUCAUCAUGCUCUAAAUUGGGGUCUCACUAUGUUGCUGAGCCUGGCCUUGAACUCACAGUCCUCCUGCCUCAGCCUCCCCAGUAGCUAGGAUGACAGGCAUGUCCACCACGCCGGCUUGCUUCCCUUCCCUAAGGUAGGUGCAAGGUGCCCGAGGCACCAUGUUCCCACCCUGGCAGCCCACCAGGGGCUGUUGGUUGUCCCCGGAUAUCGGGGGCUCCAGACGAGUGCUGCCAGUCACACACCCUACACCGUCUAUCUGCUCUUUGCUCCGGGCGGUGUCCUGUGGUCUUCUCUUGGGUGGACCCUCAGCCGAGGUGUUGGUUUUGGUGGGUGCUUUCCCUGGCAGCUUCCCUGCUAAGGCGACUUGGGCGUCCGGCACUUGCUUCCUCUGCUGUUCUGUUGACCGUGCCCCAGGGCAGCUCUUUGUCCCUGCUGGCUGAGACUGGAGAGGCUUCCUCCGGCUCUGUCGGCUUCUGUACCUUGGACAGUCGGUCCUGUUGCACAAGUCGGCCCCUUGGAUGGUUGCUCCUGGAGCAAAGCUGAUCCCAGCCUCCGGUGCCUGGGCUGAAUGUUCUGGAAGGCCAUCAACUAGCUUUGAUUUUGAAUGCAGUGGUUGCUUCUAGGGCCACUGUCCUCUCUGUGGAGCUUCCUCAUAGGUGCCCUGGUGGCCGGCUUGGCUUGUCACUUCCUUCCCACAGCAGAGGUUCCGUGCUUGGGGGGCCGCAGAGCUGCUGCUGCUGCUCCCCAGGAGGUUUCCCACCCCCCGCAGGCAGGAGAGCAAUGAAGCCACACCUGACCCCCUCACGCUCCCGAGAUGUCCAGAUGUCUGGUGUCUGCAGCAGUUGAAAGGCAUCACUUUGUUGAAUGGCUCGGCUGGAGCUCUUCACCUGCCUGUCCUCGGCCACGCCUGCGCCCUCCCUCCUGCCCAGCCAGCAGUGUCAGGGAGCCUCGCUCCACAGUGCGUGACUGACGGACCACCACAGGGCCACCCUGUGGGGCACCUUCCUUUAGCAGGAUGGAAGAGAAACCCAGGGGCUGCUGCCAGACACAGCCUGGCCCCCUGAGAGGCUUGGGCACAGCCCCAGAAUGUGGACGGGGCUCUGUCCCAAGGGGCCGAGCUGGCCCUGGUGUGGAGCUGGAUUCUGACCGCAGCUUCAAGUCGGUUGCAGACGGGGCGGGUGGUAAAGCCUCUGUUACCUCGGAACAACUCGAGAUCUCUGUAGUGCGUCAGCAUGUUUUCCAGGGGCAUCUGGGUUUGUAGUGGGGGUUCCACCUGGAGACACACAUGAGGCUUUCAUAGUAAAAGAAAAGAAAAUGCCAGUUCUGCUAAGCCUCGCAAGCACACUGUCCAACAGGCAGGCUGGGUGCGGCUCAAGCGCUGAGGCCCGGGUCCCGUCCCAGCACCAGAAACGAAACAAAAGUGUAUGGUGUGUUUCAAACAUAAAGCCCCUGAGAACAGGAGUACAGUCAAAUAGCGCCUGGGCUGUAGAACGCAACCUCACUGCCAAUAAAGCAGACCUGAGGCCCCCUGGGCAGCGACCGUGGGGCCUCGCUCGUGCUGCACUUGACCUUGGCCUCCAGCCUUGCACCCUGAGCUGCUACCUUCCAAGCUCAGCUUGCAGGAGCCAGGGUUUCCCUCAGCAGUGCUGAAAGAUGGGUGGGCUUGAUGCCCAGGUCUCCGGCUGCCUGUGCUGGCCUCUCACCACUGGGGGGCCCUAGGAGGAGGGUGCUAGAGAGGCCAGCAGCGGAAGAGCUGUGUCCCCAAGUUAAGAGCCUCCUCAAAGCAAGAAUCACUGAGGUGGCUCAGCCCUGGGAUUCUGGGAGAAUCUCUUCCUUUGGGUUUUCAUGUCUUGGACUCUGUCUUCUCUGUUUCCGUGUGCUCCCACUGAGGUGUUCUUUGGAAGCCAUAUCCAGCAGAAUCAUCAUUUGCCACUGUCCUCCUUCCUGAUGGUCCCUGGGCAUCCCACCACUGGCCUUGACCUUGGGUUCCACACUGCAUUUUGAUGCCUGUUCUUCCCUCAGGAUCUUGGUCCCUUGAGAACAAGUAAGAGCCUGUCAGGAGAGAGGCCGGGUGGGGGACCUGGACGUCUCUGGAUGAGCCCGUCCAUCCUCAGGACCUCGAUGUCCCCAGGAAUUCAGUGAACUUGGUGGCCGGAGCAUGUCCAGCUUCCUGCCUGAGCUCCCACCCCCAGGUUGGUCCCCAGCCCAGGCGCUGCUGUCAUGGAGACAGCGGGCAGCAGCACUGCAGUACCGGGCGGCUGUCUCUGAGCAACAGGUGGUUCCAGCAGCAGCAGCAGCAGCAGCAGGAGACCUGCUCGUGGACCGAGGGCAGCUUUACAGGGCGAAGCUGCGACGUCGCCAGUUCCUGGGCCUCACAAGCUGUUUGCUCUCACACCAGCUGUGUGUGAGCGGGCGGCCACUAUUUAAAGGCUGGCCGGUUUCACAGUGAGUCUUGAGUCCCAGCAGUGCUUUACCCGGGCAGCUCUGGCCACCCUGGACACACAGUGCACCAGCCCCAAGCUGGCCCAGGGGCACAGAGUCCUCCUUCAGUGGUCUCACUGUCCCAGCGCCAGAUCAGCGAUUCCUAUUUCACAGUGUUGCUCUAUGGACUAGUGUUAUGCGGGAAGCCAGCGCCACAGGAGGGUUUCUUACAGUGCCUGAGGAGGGGUCACGUCACAGUCUGAUCAUUUGAAGAGGUGCAGAGACCCUGAGGCUCCCCUGCAUGUGGCCC